ACGGCUCAGUAACACGUGGACAACCUACCCUCAGAUCUGGGAUAACUCCGGGAAACUGGAGAUAAUACCGGAUAAUCCGUGAACGCUGGAAUGCCUUACGGUUCAAAGCUUUAGCGUCUGAGGAUGGGUCUGCGGCCGAUUAGGUAGUUGCUGGGGUAACGUCCCAACAAGCCGAUAAUCGGUACGGGUUGUGAGAGCAAGAGCCCGGAGAUGGAUUCUGAGACACGAAUCCAGGUCCUACGGGGCGCAGCAGGCGCGAAAACUUUACACUGCGCGAAAGCGCGAUAAGGGGACCUCGAGUGCGUGCGCAAUGCGUACGCUUUUCAUAUGCCUAAAAAGCAUGUGGAAUAAGGGCCGGGCAAGACCGGUGCCAGCCGCCGCGGUAACACCGGCGGCUCGAGUGGUGGCCGCUAUUAUUGGGCUUAAAGGGUCCGUAGCCGGACCAGUUAGUCCCUUGGGAAAUCUUACGGCUUAACCGUAAGGCUGCCAAUGGAUACUGCUGGUCUUGGGACCGGGAGAGGCAAGAGGUACCUCAGGGGUAGGAGUGAAAUCCUGUAAUCCUUGAGGGACCGCCAGUGGCGAAGGCGUCUUGCUAGAACGGGUCCGACGGUGAGGGACGAAAGCUAGGGGCACGAACCGGAUUAGAUACCCGGGUAGUCCUAGCCGUAAACGAUGCGAGCUAGGUGUCACGUGGAUUGCGAAUCCAUGUGGUGCCGUAGGGAAACCGUGAAGCUCGCCGCCUGGGAAGUACGGCCGCAAGGCUGAAACUUAAAGGAAUUGGCGGGGGAGCAC
rnacentral:rRNA from 1 species